rnacentral:tRNA from 1 species
CCGCCGGUGGCCGAGGCGACCGGCGGCGGCGUCAGCUACAGGUUGGCGCAGUAGCCGAUGCUGAACGUGCUAGCACCGGCAUUC